rnacentral:rRNA from 1 species
GUCUACGGCCAUACCACCCUGAACGCGCCCGAUCUCGUCUGAUCUCAGAAGCUAAGCAGGGUCGGGCCUGGUUAGUACUUGGAUGGGAGACCGCCUGAGAAUACCAGGUGCUGUAGGCU